AGUGAACGCUGGCGGUAGGCCUAACACAUGCAAGUCGAACGGCAGCACAGUAAGAGCUUGCUCUUACGGGUGGCGAGUGGCGGACGGGUGAGGAAUACAUCGGAAUCUACUUUUUCGUGGGGGAUAACGUAGGGAAACUUACGCUAAUACCGCAUACGACCUACGGGUGAAAGCAGUGGAUCUUCGGACCUUUCGCGAUUGAAUGAGCCGAUGUCGGAUUAGCUAGUUGGCGGGGUAAAGGCCCACCAAGGCGACGAUCCGUAGCUGGUCUGAGAGGAUGAUCAGCCACACUGGAACUGAGACACGGUCCAGACUCCUACGGGAGGCAGCAGUGGGGAAUAUUGGACAAUGGGCGCAAGCCUGAUCCAGCCAUACCGCGUGAGUGAAGAAGGCCUUCGGGUUGUAAAGCCCUUUUGUUGGGAAAGAAAAGCAGCAGGUUAAUACCCCGCUGUUCUGACGGUACCCAAAGAAUAAGCACCGGCUAACUUCGUG
rnacentral:rRNA from 1 species